ACGAACGCUGGCGGCGUGCUUAACACAUGCAAGUCGAACGGUAAGGCCCCAGCUUGCUGGGGUACACGAGUGGCGAACGGGUGAGUAACACGUGGGUGACCUGCCCUGCACUUCGGGAUAAGCCUGGGAAACUGGGUCUAAUACCGGAUAGGACCGCACCGUGAGGGUGUGGUGGAAAGUUUUUCGGUGUGGGAUGGGCCCGCGGCCUAUCAGCUUGUUGGUGGGGUAAUGGCCUACCAAGGCGGCGACGGGUAGCCGGCCUGAGAGGGUGGACGGCCACAUUGGGACUGAGACACGGCCCAGACUCCUACGGGAGGCAGCAGUGGGGAAUAUUGCACAAUGGGCGGAAGCCUGAUGCAGCGACGCCGCGUGGGGGAUGACGGCCUUCGGGUUGUAAACUCCUUUCACCAUCGACGAAGGUUUUCUGACGGUAGAUGGAGAAGAAGCACCGGCUAACUACGU
rnacentral:rRNA from 1 species